UUUCUUUACUUUUAUAUUAAACCGUGACUGGAUCACAUCUUCGUAAGCCAUUCUAAGUACCGACAUGUAGUCCUUUCUUUUAAUAAUUGAGAAAAAAUAGUCUAUAAACAAAACAAAGGAUAACUUAGUGUUUCAUAUUCUGUGAAAGGGAGGAAACUAUUCAACGUACAUGUACAGUUCUUUUUUUAAUAAUUGGGGGAAAAUAUUAAAAAAGAAAAAAACAAAGGAUAAUUUAGUGUUUUUUUACUGUGAACAGAAGGAAAUUUACUCGAUAAUGGAUAAGUCGUACUCUGAAGAUCCAUGGAAUUAAUAACCAAUUAAUAGGUUAAGAGAGGAAGUGAAUUAACGUUGGGCGCAAUGAUGCCUCGGACGCCCGUUUGAAGUCAGUUGAUUCAUUCAUAAGUAGAUGAAAGGAGCGAUUACCCGGACCCAAAACAAAUAAAUGGUGGUUUACUAUAGUUUAUUGUAAAGAAAUUUUCUAUUAGUUGUAUGGGAAAAUAAUUUCUGUGGCCUUUCUUUUUAUUAUUAUUAUUAUUAUUUAUAUGGUAUAAUUGGUAUUUUGUAUUCGUGAGAAGGGGAUCCGCGGUGGCUCUGAGAGUAAGGCUCUGGCCUACUUACCAGGUCUCGGACCUUGGGAUUUUUAUGGUGAGUUUCCCUCUUGUGGGGAAUCGGUAUUCUUUAGAAACCAAUGCAUAUACGUUAAAGAUACAGAAUAUAUUAAAUGAGCUAUGGGCGCUUCCACACCCGCGCCUCUACUCACCUCUUCCCAUCAAGACUUUACAAAUGGAAUAUCCGGUCGGUGAUCCAAAGAAGCUAAUUUUAGGACAAAACCUCACUGGUUACCGUCCUAUAUAAGUAAAUGAAAUAGAUUAUGGUGCAAGAAGACCUCGCUUCAAUUUGCUUUAAAGCAUUUAUAUUGACGCCAUUCUAUAACCACCCUCUCUAUGUAAUAAAACGCAUGUUUACUUAUACAUCAAGAUAACUCACCAUAAAAGUAGAAAUUUACCCUCAAAGCAACAUUUGAAACGAUAGUACCCUCUUCUUUAUAUUAUCAGUCAACAUAAUAACAGUUUUUAUUUCUCUUUUAUCUUCCUUCAUGUCUACCAGAUUAAAGUUAUUAUGAAUAAAAUAAC